rnacentral:rRNA from 1 species
AGCGAACGCUGGCGGCAGGCCUAACACAUGCAAGUCGAGCGCCCCGCAAGGGGAGCGGCAGACGGGAGAGUAACACGUGGGAACGUACCCUUCGGUUCGGAACAACCCAGGGAAACUUGGGCUAAUACCGGAUACGUCCGAAAGGAGAAAGAUUUAUCGCCGAAGGAUCGGCCCGCGUCUGAUUAGCUAGUUGGUUGGGUAAUGGCUCACCAAGGCGACGAUCAGUAGCUGGUCUGAGAGGGUGAUCAGCCUCACUGGGACUGAGAAACGGCCCAGACUCCUACGGGAAGCAGCAGUGGUGAAUAUGGGACAAUGGGCGCAAGCCUGAUCCAUCCGUGCCGCGUGGGUGAUGAAGGCCCUAGGGUUGUAAAGCCCUUUCGGCGGGGAAGAUAAUGACGGUACCCGCAGAAGAAGCCCCGGCUAACCUCGUGCCAGCAGCCGCCGUAAUAC